rnacentral:rRNA from 1 species
CUGCUGCCUUCCGUAGGAGUUUGGGCCGUGUCUCAGUCCCAAUGUGGCCGUUCACCCUCUCAGGCCGGCUACUGAUCGUCGCCUUGGUAGGCCGUUACCCUACCAACCAGCUAAUCAGACGCGGGUCCAUCCUGCACCACCUUAGUUUUUCACACCUGGCCAUGCGGCCUCGUGCGCUUAUGCGGUAUUAGCACCUGUUUCCAGGUGUUAUUCCCCGGUGCAGGGCAGGUUCCCCACGCGUUACUCACCCGUCCGCCACUAAGUUA